rnacentral:rRNA from 1 species
GAUGAACGCUGGCGGCGUGCCUAAUACAUGCAAGUCGAGCGAACAGACGAGGAGCUUGCUCCUCUGACGUUAGCGGCGGACGGGUGAGUAACACGUGGAUACCUACCUAUAAGACUGGGAUAACUUCGGGAAACCGGAGCUAAUACCGGAUAAUAUAUUGAACCGCAUGGUUCAAUAGUGAAAGACGGUUUUGCUGUCACUUAUAGAUGGAUCCGCGCCGCAUUAGCUAGUUGGUAAGGUAACGGCUUACCAAGGCAACGAUGCGUAGCCGACCUGAGAGGGUGAUCGGCCACACUGGAACUGAGACACGGUCCAGACUCCUACGGGAGGCAGCAGUAGGGAAUCUUCCGCAAUGGGCGAAAGCCUGACGGAGCAACGCCGCGUGAAUGAUGAAGGUCUUCGGAUCGUAAAACUCUGUUAUUAGGGAAGAACAAAUGUGUAAGUAACUAUGCACGUCUUGACGGUACCUAAUCAGAAAGCCACGGCUAACUACGUG